AGUGAAGCGGGAAGAGCUCAAAUUUGAAAUCUGGUAGCCUUCGGUUGCCCGAGUUGUAAUCUAGAGAAGUGUUUUCCGUGCCGGCCCAUGUACAAGUCCCUUGGAACAGGGCGUCAUAGAGGGUGAGAAUCCCGUCCUUGACAUGGACCCCCGGUGCUUUGUGAUACACUUUCAACGAGUCGAGUUGUUUGGGAAUGCAGCUCAAAAUGGGUGGUGAAUUCCAUCUAAAGCUAAAUAUUGGCGAGAGACCGAUAGCGAACAAGUACCGUGAGGGAAAGAUGAAAAGCACUUUGGAAAGAGAGUUAAACAGUACGUGAAAUUGUUGAAAGGGAAACGAUUGAAGUCAGUCAUGCUCUUAGGAUUCAGCCGUUCUGCGGUGUAUUUCCUUUGAGUGGGGUCAACAUCAGUUUUGAUCGAUGGAUAAAGGCACGAGGAAGGUAGCACUCUCGGGUGAACUUAUAGCCUCGCGUCAUAUACAUUGAUUGGGACUGAGGAACGCAGCAUGCCUUUAUGGCCGGGAUUCGUCCACGUACAUGCUUAGGAUGUUGACAUAAUGGCUUUAAACGACCCGUCUUGA
rnacentral:rRNA from 1 species